AUGGCGCAGUUUGCAGGACAAGUUCUCAGCCCGACCUCUACCACGAUAUGGAAGACUUGGGCUCCGCCAAAAUGCAAAUUUUUUUCUUGGUUGAUCAUCCAAAAUCGUGUGUGGACGGCUGAUCGGUUGCAACGGCGGGGAUGGCCAAAUUGUGGCCUCUGCCCCCUUUGCAAGCAGGUUCAGGAGUCAGCUCCUCACAUUCUCUUCCAGUGCAGAUAUAGUGCCCGAGUUUGGAACGAUAUCAUCGCUUGGCUUGGCAUUCAUGGCCAAUCGACGACGGCUUGGCGUCAGGAGAUCUCUGUCCAGGACUGGUGGCUCAAGACGAUCAACUCUGGAGGCCACAUCAAGAAGGCCACUGCCUCCGUUAUGAUGCUUGUCUCAUGGGAAAUUUGGAAGGAGCGCAAUGCAAGAGUCUUCCGCAACACAGCCACUCCAACCACUAUCAUUGUCGCGAAAAUCAAAGAGGAGGCCCGCCUUUGGUCGUUGGCUGGAGCGAGCCACCUGAGUAAUCUUAUAUGUCGCGAGAGUAGUCUCUCCUUUGUUUCUGCCGUUUUACGGCUUAGGUCUAAAACCUUCUUUUUAAUUAAUGAAAUGGCAAGUCUUUUGCCUUGUUUCAAAAAAAAAACAUAA
rnacentral:rRNA from 1 species